AGAUGUGAAGGCAAUCUGGCUGUGACAUCUGUCAUCCCAUUGAUAACCAGGGUUGACUGGGCUGAUCUGGCUGGCUAGGCUGGUGUCCCUUUCCUCCCCACUGCUUCAAGUGUGUCCCUCCCAAAGCUGUUCUCUUCCCGAAAUAGAGGAGGAUGGGUCUUUUGUCAAGAGUAUACAUGUAGCUGUACACUCCUGCUAGAACCUCCAAACAAGCCAGAAACACAAAGUGACACAUGCAUCUGGAGUUCUUUUGCAGUGGCAAGAGGCCCUGAUGU
rnacentral:snRNA from 1 species